rnacentral:rRNA from 1 species
GNNCUCGGAUCAGGUAGGGAUACCCCGCUCAACUUUAAGCAUAUCA